UGAAAGUUUGAUUCUGUUUGUGCA
rnacentral:piRNA from 1 species